ACGUGACCCGGGGCGGCCCCUGAAGUCUUGGGGGAGGGCCAGAACUCAGCCCAGAACGCAGGAACUCAUACUCCCUACAAGGGGACGCGCUCAGGAUCCGGACUUCUACUUCCCGGUCCGGUCUGCCCAACUGUGGUGAACCCAGUUUUUCUCCUUUUCGCCCGGACCUUAAGACCUUCGCAAAAGAACGUGCAAGACCUGAGGCCUCUUCCGGUCCAUGACGGUCACGCCGGACUUGUGGAAGUCACCAACAGUCCAGGGGCUGUGGGGGUCACGACGGCUGGCCGGGGUUUAUGGAAGAAAUCACCAAGGGUCAGAGGGGGCGGUGAGAAUAACCACGUAUCUCUUGGAGGCUUCCGGGAGAGAUCACUAGAGAAUGGAGAUGGCGAGGGCGGCAGAGAUCAGGAGUCCUUAGAGCUAUGGGCUGUCAACCCAGAUCACAGCAAAGGAUCUGUCCACAUAGGUGACUGAGAAAUUUGUAUUCCGGCGCGUAGGGCUCCAGCCUGGAAGGAGCAGAGAAGUGAAAUUGCCAAACCCAACCCGCGUCCAAAGCUGGAGCCGCUCCUCGUGCUGUCAGAAAAGUGGGUCCCUGCGUCUGGGACAGUGAAAAAGAGAGCGCAAGACCCAGGCACAUCCCCAGCUCAUGCCCAGGCAAGGGACGCAGCCCAAGAAGAGAGGGGAGACGAGGUUGGCGGGGAUGCCUUCCAGGCCAUGCCACACUACAACUUGUCCCCACUUGGCAAAUGAAGAGACUGAGGCUUCUGGGCCGGAUGUGACUCGCGCCGGAACCCAGCUACCGGGACGGAGUGGUAGGUGGACCUGGGACAACUAGAACGUUCCCCAAGGAUUGCAGUGGUGCAUAGCAACCCUUCUCCAGACCCCCCAUCCAAGCGACUGCCCGCGUGUCCCUACCCCGGGAAAAAACUUAUAGAGAAUCGUGCACUGAGAGAGGGGAGAAUGUAGCUUCUCAGGCCCCACCCCCAAGUUUGGAAUUUCAAAUAUUUAUUUGUGGGGCUGGACGGAACUGCGAGAUAGGCCCCUCCUUUCCCCCAUUCUGGAGCACGCCUUUGUCAGGAGUCCCGCCCUCUGGGCUGUGCCCUUCCAGCCACCUCCCCUUUACCUGUGCAACCCUACCUUUCCGGAUCCGUCUCCAAAACUACCUUGGCGUUUGCAUCUGGCCUUCCCCGCCUCCUAUCUGGCACCGGUUCCUACUGAACAGUCCCGGCGUCCCUGCAGGGCUUUCCCAGAGCCGCUUGUCACUGUUGCCUGGAUGGGGUUGCCUUCAGCCCCAUUCGUUUAACCUCUAAAUUACGUGCCCAACUCCUCCGAAAGUCUCCCUGUCGAGGUGACCAGUUCGUUGUGGCAUCCUUGGUGAUCCUGAACCCAUUCCCACUAGAGAGGCGCUCAUGUUCACUACCAGGGUCUCCGCGGGUAGCGAACCCCAAGUCCCAAGUUGGCAGUACAGGGAGGCUCCUCCAAACCCCCACCCGCCCACCCAGCUGUUUACACCCCAAGACUAUUCGUGACACUUGGACUCUUCUUGAAAAACCAAAUUCGUCCAAAUAACAUGGGGUCCUUGUUUUGCUGAGCUCCCUUAUCUGCAUGUGCUUCCUCCUAGAUCACCCCCUUUUUAUUAAGCAAUUUGUGUUUCCCCCUCACAUAACCAACUUGUAAUAUGAUUUAUUAAUCAUUUAUUGUCUCCCCACCACCCUACCCAACAUCCUAUCCUCGAGGACACAGGCUUUUUCCUCACAUACAUCUGAGGCCGGCACUGACUGAAUGAAUUGUCCUGGAGAUUGUUUCUUUUGUCUUGGAAUAUUCCAGCAAUGGUAAACUUCUAGGACCACAAGGCCUUUGCAGUAGGACAUUCUAUAUGUCUUUACCCUCCUUCCCAGACCACUCCUGCUUUUCCUCCUCAUUUCUGCCCCUAAGGUAGCUCCCUUCAUAGCUGGGGUCCAUUCUACAAUUUGAAAUAUUCUCCUACCCCAAACUGUUCCUUGCUUUCUGCUUCUAGGAUUCAUGAAUCAUGAAUGAAUGGAUGAAUGGGAAAUGGGUACUGACAGAGGGCUAAGAAAGGCCCCAACGGCCCAGCUCAACUAAGGCCAGAGGUCUUUCCUAAGCUGCCCUUGGAAAUCUCUUAGCCGGGAGUCCUAAAGGCAGCGGGAGCGCCAAUCGCGGGUUAAUGAAGGCCUGGGCAGAUACAGGGUGAGGCUCUUGCAAGGAGAGAGUGACAGCGUUCUCUUAAGUAGUGAAAAAGCAUCCUCUCAGGACUUUCCCUUCUUAACCAGAAAAGGUCCCUCUGUGAACAAGAUUCGACGCUGGAGACCACCGCAAGGAGUUGGCUCAUACCUGUCGUGGCCCUCAGUGAACCAAUGGCUCCCAGCUAACCCCACUGCUAAGGGUUCUGAUCUCCAAGGCCAACAGAGUAGCUAGAGCUCUGGGCUCCUCCGCGGUUCCCAUCCCAGCAUCUUUGCAGAAUUGCGUCUGAGUUCCCACCAGAGGGCGCGCUGACCCUGUAGUCAAAACCCAAUGGUGAAGAUCAGAGGGCAGGAACGUGCUCCUGUAGGAAUGAGGUUAAAAUGCAGAUGCCCUGGACUCCGCUUUCUAGGCCGCUUCUGUCUGGCUUAGAAUCUUCUAGUAGUUCCUGGAUCCUUGCACAUUGGCCAAGUCUUAAAGCUUGUUUUUCAGGGUCCUCAAUCUUUAUUUCACUCUGCCCUAGUCUGUACCCCAGACACAUUGUGAUUCUUUGGAUCCAUGGGCUGCUGAAGCAGUCACCUACCUACAUAUCCCUUUAUUGAUCUGGGAAAUUACUUAUCUUUCAAGACCCAUCUCUAAUGAUUCUUACUCUGGACAACCUUCCUUGAUGCCUAGACCAAGUUAGAUGAUCUGGUCUGGGCCUCUUGUCUCCAGGAUUCUGUGUUGAAUUACUGAUUUGAUCAGUUUGGCCUCUACUUCAGGGAGGCUCUGGCAGGAAGGAAUAGGGGUCUGCUGAGGGAGAAUCACUUGGCCUCCAAUGGGCUCAGCUGUGAUCACCAAAUCAGUUUAGAGGCCUUGGUUGGGGUUUGGUUGACCCAAGCUCAGCACCCACCUGGUCUAUGGUUCCAUGCUCCCCUCGAAUGGAACAUGGGAUAGUGAGAGGAAAUGCAAGGUCCAGUAACAGUAGCAGCAGAGGCUGUAUUCUCACAGAUUACAAUUGGCCUGGCUCUUCAGUCUCUGAGUUUAUUCCCACUACUGGUCUUUACUCAAUGUAUUCCCCUCUUCAAACACACCCUCCUUCUUUCCCAAUCUUUUCCAGAAUUCGCAUCCAGCACUGCUGACCAUUCAGUCCUUUAUCUCCACCUCCAGGUCUGACAAGCACCAGGGUCCUGUCAUGGAAGAAGGAUGUUGUGGAGAAGGAUGAAUACAUUCCUUCAACAUGUAUUAAUCAUCUGCUGUGUACCAGAAACUGUGCCAGGUAGUAACUAGUAACCAAGGAUAUGAUAGAAAAAAGACAGGUGAGGGAGUCGUGGCUCAGUGGUAGAGCACUUGCCUGGUGUAUGUAAGGCACAGGAUCUGAUUCUCAGCACCGCAUACAACUAAAUAAAGAACCAUUGACGACUAAAAAAACAAACAAACCAAAAAAAAAAAAAAAA